AGCAUAAACAGAGGGGACAGUGUAUCUUCAGUCACCACACCAGUGGCUUUCCCCUGGAGAGGAUCAACCACUGCCCUCUGGAUGUGCUGACUCCUGCAGUAUCCACACAUGAAGCAAACUCAACUACAUGGUUUGUGGUAGUGGAGGCUGCCUUCA
ensembl:snRNA predicted gene, 22211